AGAAGCAUAGAAAACUACAAAUAGAGUGGUGGAAAACGCCUGUAUCAAAAAAAGGGACUGCAGUUAAAAGCUAGGGCUAGGACUUGGAGGAUGUGUAGGCAAUCGGAAGGAGAGCCGGGGGAAGAAAAACCGAAAUGGAUUCAUUCUCUGUCCUGGAUGGAGAAGGAGAAGAGAGGAGAGGAGAGGAGAAGGGGACGAGCAAGCUUCCUCCGACGGGCGCUGUCCGGUGCAAAGUGAUCACCCCUGCGGGGCUGAGCGCAGCCCGGGAGCCCAGGCGGACUUUCGCUGGAUCCUGCCAAUCACACCGCUUUUCCUGGACAACACCCCGAGCUGGCAUGGACAUAGUCCAAAGGAUAUCCCGGCGUUGAAGAAACCUCUUCAGCUUUACACCCAGUGCCUUAUCACCAUCAGAAGUGGAAGAAGAACCUUAAAUGAAUGCAUAACAGCGGUUAAGCAACAAUUUGAAUAUUCAUAUUUUACUCUUCAAACAACAG